rnacentral:rRNA from 1 species
UACGAAGGGGGCUAGCGUUGUUCGGAAUCACUGGGCGUAAAGCGCACGUAGGCGGAUCCUUAAGUCAGGGGUGAAAUCCCGAGGCUCAACCUCGGAACUGCCUUUGAUACUGGGGAUCUUGAGUCCGGGAGAGGUGAGUGGAAUUGCGAGUGUAGAGGUGAAAUUCGUAGAUAUUCGCAAGAACACCAGUGGCGAAGGCGGCUCACUGGCCCGGUACUGACGCUGAGGUGCGAAAGCGGUGGGA